CCUACGGGACGCACCAGUGGGGAAUAUUGCACAAUGGGCGCAAGCCUGAUGCAGCCAUGCCGCGUGUGUGAAGAAGGCCUUCGGGUUGUAAAGCACUUUCAGCGAGGAGGAAGGUGGUGAACUUACUACGUUCAUCAAUUGACGUUACUCGCAGAAGAAGCACCGGCUAACUCCGUGCCAGCAGCCGCGGUAAUACGGAGGGUGCAAGCGUUAAUCGGAAUUACUGGGCGUAAAGCGCACGCAGGCGGUCUGUCAAGUCGGAUGUGAAAUCCCCGGGCUCAACCUGGGAACUGCAUGCGAAACUGGCAGGCUAGAGUCUUGUAGAGGGGGGUAGAAUUCCAGGUGUAGCGGUGAAAUGCGUAGAGAUCUGGAGGAAUACCGGUGGCGAAGGCGGCCCCCUGGACAAAGACCGACGCUCAGGUGCGAAAGCGUGGGGAGCAAACAGGAUUAGAUACCCGGGUAGUC
rnacentral:rRNA from 1 species